rnacentral:rRNA from 1 species
GAUGAACGCUGGCGGCGCGCCUAAUACAUGCAAGUAGAACGCUGAGGGAGUAGCUUGCUCUUCUGGAUGAGUGGCGAACGGGUGAGUAACGCGUAGGUAACCUGCCUGGUAGCGGGGGAUAACUAUUGGAAACGAUAGCUAAUACCGCAUGACAGCAGUUGUUGCAUGAUAACUGUUGAAAAGGUGCAACUGCUCCACUACCAGAUGGACCUGCGUUGUAUUAGCUAGUGGGUGAGGUAACGGAUCUCCAAGGCGGCGAUACAUAGUCGAAAGGAGAGGGGGGUCGGCCAGACUGGGAGGGAGACCGGGCCCAGAGUGCCUCGGGAGGCAGCAGGACGGAAACGUCAGCAAGCGGCGGAAAUCAUUGCGAGAAACGCGGCGGGAGUGAGGAAGAUUGUCGGGUCGUGAAGGUCGGUUGUAAGGGAAGAAAGAGUGUGAGAGUGGAAAGUUCCCACUGUGACGGUAACGGACAAGAAAGCAACGGCUAACUACGUG